GGAAAGGUGGCAGAGUGGUCGAAUGCGGCGGUCUCGAAAACCGUUGUGCGGGCAACCGUACCGGGAGUUCGAAUCUCCCCCUUUCCG
rnacentral:tRNA from 1 species